rnacentral:tRNA from 1 species
AAAGCGAUAUCAUGUUAAAAAGAAGCUUCUAACUUUAUUUUUAAGCGGUUGAAUUCCGUUAAUAUCUUUU